rnacentral:misc_RNA from 1 species
GAUGAAGAACGCAGCGAAAUGCGAUAAGUAAUGUGAAUUGCAGAAUUCAGUGAAUCAUCGAAUCUUUGAACGCACAUUGCGCCCGCCAGUAUUCUGGCGGGCAUGCCUGUUCGAGCGUCAUUUCAACCAUCAAGCCCCAGGCUUGUGUUGGGGACCUGCGGCUGCCGCAGGCCCUGAAAACCAGUGGCGGGCUCGCUGUCACACCGGGCGUAGUAGAUUUUAUCUCGCUCAGGGCGUGCUGCGGGUUCCGGCCGUUAAAAAGCCUUUUUUACCCAAGGUUGACCUCGGAUCAGGUAGGAAUACCCGCUGAACUUAAGCAUAUCAAUGAGCGGAGGA